rnacentral:rRNA from 1 species
GACGAACGCUGGCGGCGUGCUUAACACAUGCAAGUCGAGCGGUAAGGCCCUUUCGGGGGUACACGAGCGGCGAACGGGUGAGUAACACGUGGGUGACCUGCCCUCAGCUCUGGGAUAAGCCUGGGAAACCGGGUCUAAUACCGGAUAUGACUCCAUGACGCAUGUUGUGGGGUGGAAAGCCUUGUGCGGCUGAGGAUGGGCCCGCGGCCUAUCAGCUUGUUGGUGGGGNGAUGGCCUACCAGGGCGACGACGGGUAGCCGGCCUGAGAGGGCGACCGGCCACACUGGGACUGAGACACGGCCCAGACUCCUACGGGAGGCAGCAGUGGGGAAUCUUGCGCAAUGGGCGAAAGCCUGACGCAGCGACGCCGCGUGAGGGAUGACGGCCU